rnacentral:rRNA from 1 species
GACGAACGCUGGCGGCGUGCCUAAUACAUGCAAGUUGAGCGCUGAAGGUUGGUACUUGUACCAACUGGAUGAGCAGCGCACGGGUGAGUAACGCGUGGGGAAUCUGCCUUUGAGCGGGGGACAACAUUUGGAAACGAAUGCUAAUACCGCAUAAAAACUUUAAACACAAGUUUUAAGUGUGAAAGAUGCAAUUGCAUCACUCAAAGAUGAUCCCGCGUUGUAUUAGCUAGUUGGUGAGGUAAAGGCUCACCAAGGCGAUGAUACAUAGCCGACCUGAGAGGGUGAUCGGCCACCUUGGGACUGUGACACGGCCCAAACUCCUACGGGAGGCAGCAGUAGGGAAUCUUCGGCAAUGGACGAAAGUCUGACCGCGCAACGCCGCGUGAGUGAAGAAGGUUUUCGGAUCGUAAAACUCUGUUGGUAGAGAAGAACGUUGGUGAGAGUGGAAAGCUCAUCAAGUGACGGUAACUACCCAGAAAGGGACGGCUAACUACGUG